rnacentral:tRNA from 3 species
GCCGGAGUGGCGGAAUUGGUAGACGCAAGGGACUUAAAAUCCCUCGCUCCGCAAGGGGCGUGCCGGUUCGAUUCCGGCCUCCGGCACCA